AACGAACGCUGGCGGCAGGCCUAACACAUGCAAGUCGAACGAGAAGCCACCUUCGGGUGGUGGAAAGUGGCAGACGGGUGAGUAACGCGUGGGAACGUGCCAUUCGGUUCGGAAUAACCCAGGGAAACUUGGGCUAAUACCGGAUACGCCCUUCGGGGGAAAGAUUCAUUGCCGAAAGAUCGGCCCGCGUCGGAUUAGCUAGUUGGUGGGGUAAUGGCCCACCAAGGCGACGAUCCGUAGCUGGUCUGAGAGGAUGACCAGCCACACUGGGACUGAGACACGGCCCAGACUCCUACGGGAGGCAGCAGUGGGGAAUAUUGGACAAUGGGCGAAAGCCUGAUCCAGCCAUGCCGCGUGGGUGAAGAAGGCCUUAGGGUUGUAAACCCCUUUCAGCGGGGAAGAUAAUGACGGUACCCGCAGAAGAAGUCCCGGCUAACUCCGUGCCAGCAGCCGCGGUAAAAC
rnacentral:rRNA from 1 species